rnacentral:rRNA from 1 species
CAGUCGACGGCAGCGCGACAAAGCUUGCUCUCUUGGGGGCAAGUGGCGGAUGGGUGUCUAAUAUGUGCCAACUUGCCCGGUAUCGGGGGAUAACUACUCAAAAGAGUGGCUAAAACCGCUGACGCUCUACGGGGGAGAGGGGGGGAUCGCAAGACCUCUCAGUAUUGGAGCGGCCAAUAUGUGAUUGGCGGGUUAGUGGGUUAAAGGCUCAACAAUGCGACGAUGGUCAGAUGGUUCGACAGGACGACCAGCCACACUGGGACUGACACAACGCCCACACUCCUACGGGAUGCGGAAUUGGGGAAUUUUGGACAAUGGGGGAAACCCUGAUCCCGCCAGCCCGCGUGUAGCAUGAAGGUCUUCAGGUUGUAUUGUACUUUUGGCAAAAACUACAUCGUAUACCCUAAGACCGUAUACUGCUCACGGUAUCUGCCGAAUACUCACCGGCUGCCUACGUGCCCGCACCUGCGUUAAUACGCUAGGGUGCAUCCGUUAAUCUGAGUUACUGGGCUUAACGCGUGUGUUAUGCGGUUACAGAUAUAAAGAUGUGAGAUCCCAGGCUCUCAACCUGUGGUAACUGCCUUUAUGGUCUGCCGAACUAGAGUAGUGUCAUAGGGAGUGCAGCAUGUCCCCGUGUACUGCUGUAAAUGCUGUAGAUGUAUGACAGGAAUACCGA